UCAUGUUGGAGGUGUGCACCUCGUAGUUGGGGACACAUGGAAUCUGCAAACAAGGAAUUGUUAAAUACACUAUUCGAAUUUUCCUUCAUUUCCCAACUUAUAUUUCCACUAGUCCUUGAUUCCUAUACCAAGUUCAGUAAAAAAUGAAUCGUUCUGUAUAGGCUUGAAAGUCGAUUAAUUCGGUUAUUAACUGUCGGUUAACGGUCGGAAAAAAUGGUUUGGAGAUUAAAAUUGAUUAACCGAUUUAACCGACCGACGAUUUGUAAUUGUUAAAUAGCCGACUGAUAACCGACCAAUUGGUUAAAUCACUGAUUAUUCACCGACCGACUGAUCGGUUAACCCUAUGAACCGACUCGAACCGACUUAACCCAACAAAUCUGAAUCUCCAUACUUUUCUCCAGCGUCGAAUGAGCUGCCGAGUUAACAUUUCUUCCGGAAUCUCGUAACUUCCACAACCGCCAAUUGCGUCCUUACUCUUUAGCAGCUCGCCAUUGCCGGAUUUGUUGCGUCCUCAGCAGCUCGUCGUUGCUGGAUCUGUUGCGUCCUCACCAGCUCGCCAUCGCUAGAUCUGUUGCGUCCUCAACAGCUUGCCAUCGUCGAGCCGUCUCCAAGCACCAAAUCUUCGAUUGGGAUUUGGGAAAGGAAAAAGAAGUAGAGAUCUAAUUUCAAACGAGAAUGAGAUUGGGAUUUGAGAGAGGGAAGAUAUGUAGAGAACAGAGAUCAAGCUCUGCAUAUCAAAACAGAGAGAAGAGGGAUGGAAAUGGCGUGUGCAAGCUUGCACUACAACCAUGGCUGAGCUUCUUAUUUAUAUAAACAUAUCAAUGGUAAAAACCGGUUACACUGUUUCACCAACGGUAAUAAAGUAGUAAAAUGAUAAGCAUAAACGCAGCGUUUUUGAUCAACGCUUCAUACAAUCUACUUAACGAGCUAACGGCUUCAUAACGCC
rnacentral:lncRNA from 1 species